GUAGGGAAUCUUGCGCAAUGGGCGAAAGCCUGACGCAGCCAUGCCGCGUGAAUGAUGAAGGUCUUAGGAUUGUAAAAUUCUUUCACCGGGGACGAUAAUGACGGUACCCGGAGAAGAAGCCCCGGCUAACUUCGUGCCAGCAGCCGCGGUAAUACGAAGGGGGCUAGCGUUGCUCGGAAUUACUGGGCGUAAAGGGAGCGUAGGCGGAUAGUUGAGUCAGAGGUGAAAGCCCAGGGCUCAACCUUUGAAUUGCCUUUGAUACUGGCUGUCUUGAGUUUGGGAGAGGUGAGUGGAACUCCUAGUGUAGAGGUGAAAUUCGUAGAUAUUCGGAGGAACACCAGUGGCGAAGGCGGCUCACUGGCUCGAUACUGACGCUGAGGUGCGAAAGCGUGGGGAGCAAACAGGAUUAGAAACCCGAGUAGUCC
rnacentral:rRNA from 1 species